GACGAACGCUGGCGGCGUGGAUUAGGCAUGCAAGUCGAGCGAUAUCUUACCUUCGGGUAAGUGAAAGCGGCGAACGGGUGAGUAACACGUGAAUAACCUGCCCUCACAUUCCGGAUAAUAGACCGAAAGGUCUUGUAAUACGGGCGAGGAUUCCUCUUAGGCAUCUUAGAGAAAGGGAAGGCGCAAGCCGUGCGAGGAGG
rnacentral:rRNA from 1 species